CCUACGGGUGGCUGCAGUGGGGAAUCUUGCGCAAUGGGCGAAAGCCUGACGCAGCCAUGCCGCGUGAAUGAUGAAGGUCUUAGGAUUGUAAAAUUCUUUCACCGGGGACGAUAAUGACGGUACCCGGAGAAGAAGCCCCGGCUAACUUCGUGCCAGCAGCCGCGGUAAUACGAAGGGGGCUAGCGUUGCUCGGAAUUACUGGGCGUAAAGGGAGCGUAGGCGGAUAGUUUAGUCAGAGGUGAAAGCCCAGGGCUCAACCUUGGAAUUGCCUUUGAUACUGGCUAUCUUGAGUACGGAAGAGGUAUGUGGAACUCCGAGUGUAGAGGUGAAAUUCGUAGAUAUUCGGAAGAACACCAGUGGCGAAGGCGACAUACUGGUCCGUUACUGACGCUGAGGCUCGAAAGCGUGGGGAGCAAACAGGAUUAGAUACCCCCGGUAGU
rnacentral:rRNA from 1 species